UACGUAGGUGACAAGCGUUGUCCGGAUUAACUGGGCGUAAAGAGCGCGCAGGCGGUCGAUCAAGUCGAGUGUGAAAGCCCCCGGCUCAACUGGGGAGGGUCAUUCGAUACUGAUCGACUCGAAGGCAGGAGAGGGUAGUGGAAUUCCCGGUGUAGUGGUGAAAUGCGUAGAUAUCGAGAGGAACACCUGCGGCGAAGGCGGGUUGCUGGGCUGACACUGACGCUGAUGCGCGAAAGCCAGGGGAGCGAACGGG
rnacentral:rRNA from 1 species